UUUUAUAAAGCUAUCGGUAAAUAAUUCUUAUAGCGUAAAAGUUAAUUAUAUUCAUUUAUACUAUAAAGCAAAUAACCAAAGCAUAAAAUUACUUUUACAGUGACACGUGGGCCCACAUCUAACCAAAAUGUAUCGAAAGCUGAAAACCUACAACUUUUGCCGAUUCAAGUCCAAAUGAAGGUCCUUGUCAAAGUCAGCUAACUAUGGAAUUUCCCGAGCCUGAAAUGUGAGGAAAUGAGGGUGUUGAGAUUAUAAAAUCCCAGUGAGUAAACAGACACCAUCUAAACUAUCUAAAGGCGAGUAAAUAGAGACGAAUUAAAAUAAGUCAUCAUACUGUAAUUUCAUUACCUUUCAACUCAUUUCACACAUAUAAACAAAUAGGCUUAUGAUUUCCUGAAAAGCUUGGCUCGUGCCAAAAAUCAUUCUCAUACUCAGUUAUCAGGGAUACCUUGAUCGAGGGUUAUCCCAACCGAGUCCACCAAGGCUGUUAAAUGUCUUUACAUCCGAAAUUUUAGCCAUGCCUUGGCGUUGGCUGAGUCUCACUCUCACGUAGUGGUCCACGGGAAGUGCACUCAAAUCUUUACCUCAGGAGAUACUUCAUCCAACAUCUCCCCCCAAAGGUAAAUAUAUAAUUGGGUUGCUGUGCCCCUCUCAUAGGUAGUCCACGAAAACCUCCACCACUACAGUGACUAUGGAUUUUUUUAUCUAUCACUUGAUUUAUAAAAUCUUUUUCUACAUGACAUGGCAAUUUAUCGCAACCUAGCCUAUCAAGGCUGAAUACACAAUACAAAUAAUUCUAACACCAAAAAUCAGUUUAGCCAUUCAUGCUCAUAUAUUGUCAUAAGCCAUUCAAUUUAAAACCAUAAAUUUACAACACAACCAAGCAAUCUCCAAUUACUCUAUUUUCAAAACCAGUAUUCAAUUUUCCAGAAAAUUUAUAAAAUCAUUUUAUAAAAUCACAAGUUCUCCUAAAACAUAGCAAAUUACCAUUUAAACCCAUUUUCAUAAAAUCACACAAUUGUAUAAAAUUACUCUAGAUAAUUAAGAUGAUAAUAAGUUUACUCACAGUUCUAGGAGUCGAUGUACUCCUAAUCCCAGUCUUCAAGCACAAUCUCUGUACUUUUACCAGUGUAAUUUACUCACCACCUAUCCACAAUGUACAAUACAUAAUUCACCGCAUCAAUGUUUGACCAUUAUAAAAUCAAUUCAGGCUUGGUGUAUAUGCAUGAUAUGAUAUGUAACUUAUCCGACUACCACUUAAAUGCGAUGCUGACCUAAUUCGGCCUAUUACCCGAUUAAAUGAUAAUUGUGUCCGAUUUGGCUCCAAAUUGCUCCAUUUCAUUUCUAAUAUUUCAACUCACUAAAUACAAUUCCAAUAAUCUAAAAUUCAACCUAACAACCCUCACAAUUCUUCUUGAAAAUUUCAGCCAUUAUGGUGCACUAUCACUAAAAAUUUUCACAUUCCAUUUUCUCACCAUAAAUCAUCAUUUCAUCAAUUUUUCAACCAAUUCACUUGAUCACAAAAUCAAUUCAUUACUUCUACACUUCACAUAGGGUUCGGCCAUUGAAGGUUCAUGGGGAAAAUGGAUUCUUUUCUUGUUGUUUUGUUUCUAAACAUGCUUAACUAACUAAAAACACUAACAUAACUUAGAAUCAAAUCAAUCUAACAUCAUUCUCUCUCCAUACCCAUUCCAACCAGUCAUGAAUUCAUCAUGAAAACAUGUAAUUUAAUCAUGAAAAAUGAGGAGAAAUGAAUGGGAAAGGUAGAUCACAAGUCAAAAUCAAGAAAUUUUACCUUUUGUCACUUGUUUCCUUGAAUUUUCACCAAUUUUUCGUUGAAUUUCUCCACCUAGGGUUUUUAUUUUUCUUUUCUCCCUUUGUUCUUCUUUGCUCUUGGUUUGGCCGGCCAUAUGAUAGAAAUGGGCUGAUUUUUAUGCCUUUUUAUAAAGAAAUAAUAAAAUAAUAAAAGCAUGACACAUGGCAUUUCCUUAUUGGUUCAAAUUUUAAAUAAUUGACUUUUAAUUCUUCAAUUCUCCACCACACAUUUCUCAUGUUUAUCCAUUUCCAUAAUGAAUAAAAUCCCUUGGUCUUGACAAGUGUCGGGGGUGAAAAUUUACAGAUUUGCCCCUAAGGUGGCAAAAUUACCAUUUUGCCCUUAUACUCCAAAUUAUACCGAAAUUAAAAAUUUUCACUUCUAAACCUCAAAUCAUACUUCAAUACUCAAACCAUACUCCAAUAAGUCAAAUGGGGCCAAAAAAAUCUUUUCUAAAAAUUUCCAUUUUGUCCCCAAGUGGCAAAUGACCAUUUUGCCCUUUGAUAGUGAAAAUUUCGGUUUGACUCCAAAUUGAUCCUCGAACUCCAAAUUACCAUUUUGAGUCAUCCCUAGACUGUGAAACUCUUAAUUUCACCUUAAAAUCCCUAUUUUAAUUAGUUGGAGGUAUAAAUCGACUUACUUGUACUUCUAAGCACAAUACCAACUUUUAAAUAUUCUUCCGAGGCUGUUCAAAUUUACAAUCACUCUAUCAGUCUCAUGUGUAACAUGGUAGAUAAUUUAAGGCUGGGCUUGAUAGCACUACCCCCCUUAAAAUAAAAUUUUGUCUUCAAAAUUUCUCUUAUCAAAUUCAAAGGAAAUGUGGGGUAUUAUCUUUUUAUUCGAUGCUUAACUUCUCCUAUUAUCUCCUUUAUAGGGAAUCUUGAUUUGCUCCUUGUAUUUAUUUCCAACUCAGCUUGAAUACUUCACUUAUAUCUAUUAUUACUCUUUAGAAUUUGAUCAGCAGUAAUCCUCUCAAUCAUGAGUCUUUAUGUCAUUUAGGAUUACGCUAAGUGGUUUUUCAAGAUAAAGAGUCUACGCAGUCUCUUAUUUAUAAUUGGUGCUGCAGUCACUAACUAUAAACAAGACUCUACGUCAACUUCACUAUUCCGCUGUUUACCACAAGAAUUGCUUCAUUUAAUCACUUUUCAUUCAACUGAGUUAAUACAAGAAUUAUAAAUCCUCAUAGUAAUCCUUUAUAGUACUCAUUUUCUAUGCCACCAUCGUAAUCCUUUAUUCACAAAAUCCGUUACUUAACAUUGAUGUCCCUUCUCAUUAAUCUCUCAUCCUCUUUAUUUCUUAAGAUUUGACUUCGAUCAAUACAUUAUUGAUCUUAAUACUCCACAAGGUAAUUUAUUUCAAUGUAGCCAUUGGAAUCUACUUAAUUAAAACAAAUCUUUUACUUUUGGAGUUACUACCUUAGUUGUUCUCAACGGCUUGACUCCUUUUUGAGUCUAUACCACAAUUAGCAAAGUAAAUUUUCUAUCACAAAUGCAUGAUUGGGACACUGACACCAACAUAUCUAUAUUAUCUAUGUAUCUAUGUGAUAUGCCACAGUUAUCCCUUAGAGCAUAUUUCACUACCAAUAUUCACAUAUCUUUACCAUGAUAAUUUCUAGAAUAAAUUAAAACUUGUGGGGGAAAACAUACUUUACAAUUUAUAUCUCCCUCUAUAAGCAUCUCCAAAAAUCCUCAUGUCCUAUGUCCCACCUUAGGACAGUCUUCCCAUAUAGUUCAAUAGAUCACAACUUCAUCAUACGCCUAAUGAUUCAUUAUUUAUAAUAUCCCACUACUCUCAUAGUCGUAACCGAUUAUAUUUCUCAUCUUAAAAUUUUACGGUAUCAUUUUCUAAUUCUCUCCAUACUCAAAUUUAUAAUCCUUGACUUAACCCCGUUAACUGGUGAUCAAUUCAUAGUACUGCAAGGUUUAAUCGUUAUUAAAUCUAAUAAUUGCUGGAACCAUUAAUGGCUUCCUAUUUCAACCUUCAGUACUUAUUUAAAAUAAUCGAUCUUGCCACUAAGAUAAUUAUUCAUCCUUAAUACUUAUAUUACUAAUCUACCUUUGUCAUACUAAAAGAUUUUUAUACUCCUUCUGUCAUUUAAACAACUACUCCAUCAUCCGUUUAUAUUAUACAAGACAAAAGUCAACUCUUAAGCCUUUUAUACAGGGGAUUAUUAUCCUUCUUAUACUACAUCUGCCUAGGAUUACAGUAUUACAAGCUUCAACAAGGCAUUAAACAUCUUUAGGAUCAUUAUCAUCUUGAUCCUUUUUAAAGUCUGUUUCAAGUUUUUCCUUUUCUUCUCUUGCCAUUUACUUACAUUGCUCCCACAGCCUAGGGGAGAAUGUCUAACGACAGAUGCCAAUGCUUUCCCACUAUAAUAUUCUUCUUCUGCUAUCCUCAUUUUCUUCCUCCCUUUGGCAUAUUCCUCAAUUCCUUUUAAGAGAAAGUUUCUCAUGCCUUGAUUUACGUCAUUACUAUCAACACUAUCAUCAGUCUCACUAUUACUAGGACUUUCUCUUAUUUUAACUUUCGCUCCCAAAUCUAAUGGAGCCCAAUUAGUAGGUACUCUAAAUGGAUCUUCUUCUGGAUUAUUAAGUUCAGGAUACCAUUGGCUUUCAGCAGUGAAAUCUGUUGGUCCCUCACUAACACUCUGUGAAAUAUCAUAAUCACGUCCCCCCUAGACAUGUUAAGCGUAAUCCAACACACUUCAAAACCUAUAUGAAAUCAAACGACAAUCACUUAAUCUCUUAUACACCCUGAAAACAAACAGGUCUCUAUACGCAGACUCAUACAUUCUAUUCGACUUAACUUAACUCAAGCCACACAAUGUUAGUGUGAAUUUUUUAAAAUAAUUUUAAAACCAAAUAUUCUGAUUCUUAAACCCAAAAUCAUGCUCUGAUACCACUUGAAUUGUCACGACUCGAAACUCUCAUCAAGCCCGUGACAACCGCCGCGAAGCCUGGACAGACAUUUUUCACCCCGAAUGCCGAUCGAAACCUCACAAGGCUCUCGUAUCAACUUUCGCACUUCCCUGGUGAGCAAUAGUUAUCAAAUAUCGUAAUUCGAAAGAUUACGAGUCAUUUUCAAAUCAGAACAUAACAUAUUUUUUUCUUGCUCACAAGGGUAUUUUCGUCAUUUUUCGUCGAAAAUCUCAAAACUUGCUAAAAAUGUAGUAGGUAAGCAGAAAAUAUAUAUUUAGUGAUUUAAAAACAAAUUAAGUAUCUAAAACGUUCAUUUGAAGUGAAAAUUUGACCAUUUAAAUAUAAUAAAAAUAUUCAAUAAAAUAAAUUAUUUUCUUGUAAAAUAAUUUUUUAUAAAGUUAUCGGUAAAUAAUUCUUAUAACGUAAAAGUUAAUUAUAUUCAUAUAUACUAUAAAGCAAAUAACCAAAGGAUAAAAUUACUUUUACAGUGACACGUGGGCCCACAUCUAACCAAAAUGUAUCGGAAGCUGAAAACCUACAGCUUUUACCGAUUCAAGUCCAAAUGAAGGUCCUUGUCAAAGUCAGCUAACUAUGGAAUUCUCCAAGCCUAAAAUGUGAGGAAAUGAGGGUGGUGAGAUUAUAAAAUCCCAGUGAGUAAACA
rnacentral:lncRNA from 1 species